rnacentral:rRNA from 1 species
CAGCAGCCGCCGCGGUAAUACGGAGGGUCCGAGCGUUAAUCGGAAUUACUGGGCGUAAAGCGUGCGCAGGCGGUUUGUUAAGCGAGAUGUGAAAGCCCUGGGCUCAACCUAGGAAUAGCAUUUCGAACUGGCGAACUAGAGUCUUGUAGAGGGGGGUAGAAUUCCAGGUGUAGCGGUGAAAUGCGUAGAGAUCUGGAGGAAUACCGGUGGCGAAGGCGGCCCCCUGUACAAAGACUGACGCUCAUGCACGAAAGCGUGGGGAGCAAACAGGAUUAGAUACCCGCGUAGUCCCUGUCUCUUAUAC